rnacentral:rRNA from 1 species
GUCGUCGAGUGGGGUUAGUGGCGACGGGUGAGUACACGUGGGCAAUCUGCCCUGCACUCUGGGACAAGCCCUGGAAACGGGGUCUAAUACCGGAUACUGAUUGUCUUGGGCAUCCUUGAUGAUCGAAAGCUCCGGCGGUGCAGGAUGAGCCCGCGGCCUAUCAGCUUGUUGGUGAGGUAACGGCUCACCAAGGCGACGACGGGUAGCCGGCCUGAGAGGGCGACCGGCCACACUGGGACUGAGACACGGCCCAGACUCCUACGGGAGGCAGCAGUGGGGAAUAUUGCACAAUGGGCGCAAGCCUGAUGCAGCGACGCCGCGUGAGGGAUGACGGCCUUCGGGUUGUAAACCUCUUUCAGCAGGGAAGAAGCGAAAGUGACGGUACCUGCAGAAGAAGCGCCGGCUAACUACGUGCCAGCAGCCGCGGUAAUACGUAGGGCGCAAGCGUUGUCCGGAAUUAUUGGGCGUAAAGAGCUCGUAGGCGGCUUGUCGCGUCGGUUGUGAAAGCCCGGGGCUUAACCCCGGGUCUGCAGUCGAUACGGGCAGGCUAGAGUUCGGUAGGGGAGAUCGGAAUUCCUGGUGUAGCGGUGAAAUGCGCAGAUAUCAGGAGGAACACCGGUGGCGAAGGCGGAUCUCUGGGCCGAUACUGACGCUGAGGAGCGAAAGCGUGGGGAGCGAACAGGAUUAGAUACCCUGGUAGUCCACGCCGUAAACGGUGGGCACUAGGUGUGGGCAACAUUCCACGUUGUCCGUGCCGCAGCUAACGCAUUAAGUGCCCCGCCUGGGGAGUACGGCCGCAAGGCUAAAACUCAAAGGA